rnacentral:misc_RNA from 1 species
UGAGUGGUACCAAAGAAAAGUAAUUCCAUCUUUCAGAGCUCUUGGGGCAGUUGGCUGCUCUUCAGUCCACAUGAUCAUGAAAACGGAUAAUUUUGUUGAUAAAAGUUCUAAUUUUCUCCCCCGCCGAUAAAUGACAACAGAGGAUAUGCCAAAGCAAGUAAACCCAAUGGAAAAGUGAACUAAAAACGUCGGCCAGAAAUUUUUGUGGUCUAGAAAUACUCUCUCAGAAAUGAGAGUAGUUGCACCAGAAAACAACAGAACUGUCCAACCUGAAGGCAAGCAGCCGCGGAAAGUAAAUGCAGAAGAGUCCUUGAAAUAAUGCUUGAUGAAUACUGCAGAGUAUAUAAUCCUCAAAAUCAUAUUUAAUGAAUUCGCCAGAAUCAAGCCAACUGAACCAGCUGACCGUAUCAGUAGGACAUUCAGCACUACAUAUAGCAGUGAGAAAACAAGCAAUGAAUCGUUUGAACGUUUGAGUUGGCUCUCUGUUGCAACAGCGUGUAGAAAUGCUUCAGAAGUUCCAUUCAUAGCCAAAACAAUGAUAUAAAGGCAAUAAUACCGAAGAGCUGUUGAUGCUUCCCCAUCACUCCAUUUAUGGCCAUACAAUAAUCUGAUUAGACAGUAAGAGUAACUUGGGCCAAAUGCCAUGAACACAAGACCAAUUAACAAAACAAGCUUCAGGGCCUCAGUAAGGUAGCUUGCCAGCUUCCUGCUUUUGUGUGGAUCUUCUCCUGAUGAGGACCUAGCAAAUGUAGCAUAUGAACUUUCCUCAAAUGGCAGAAACACCAACCUCACUACUAAGCUUCCUAAUUUGUCAACAAGUCCAUAUAUAGCCUGGUUAUAUGGGCUAUCCAACCACACAAGGACCAUCUUUUCCCCUUCCUGAAGGAUUAGCUUUCGAAAGGAUUGAAGAGUAAACAGCAUACACAUGUUUGCGAGUUGUUUAUCAUAAUCCAUUUUCGUUUCUAGGCUGUGAAAGAAC